rnacentral:rRNA from 1 species
GUCUCGUGGGCUCGGAGAUGUGUAUAAGAGACAGUUAGAAUUCUACUCUAACCGGCGAUUUCCGAAUGGGGAAACCCAGUGUGUUUCGACACACUAUCAUUAACUGAAUCCAUAGGUUAAUGAGGCGAACCGGGGGAACUGAAACAUCUAAGUACCCCGAGGAAAAGAAAUCAACCGAGAUUCCCCCAGUAGCGGCGAGCGAACGCGGAAGAGCCCAAACCAGGGAGCUUGCUUCCUGGGGUUAGGACUGUAAAAUCGAUGGAGACUGCUAGAAGAAUGGCAUGGAAAGGCCAGCCAGAGAGAGUGAAAGCCUCGUAUCCGAAAGCGGUCAAAGCGAGACAGUAUCCAGAGUAGGACGAGACACGUGAAACCUUGUCUGAACACGCGGGGACCACCCCGUAAGGCUAAAUACUACUUGGUGACCGAUAGUGAAACAGUACCGUGAGGGAAAGGUGAAAAGAACCCCGGGAGGGGAGUGAAAGAGAACCUGAAACCCUGUGCCUGCAAGCUGCGAAAGCCCCAUACGAGGGUGAUCGCGUACUUUUUGUAGAACGGUCCGGCGAGUUAUGUGGAGAGGCGAGGUUAAGUACUUAAGGUAAAUAGCCGAAGGGAGACCGAGUCUGAAUAGGGCGAUAAGUCACUUCACAUAGACCCGAAACCGGGUGAUCUAUCCAUGGACAGGAUGAAGCGGCCGUAAAAGGCUGUGGAGGUCCGAACACACAUCCGUUGAAAAGGGUGGUGAUGAGCUGUGGAUAGGGGAGAAAUUCCAAUCGAACUCGGAGAUAGCUGGUUCUCCCCGAAAUAGCUUUAGGGCUAGCCCUGUAGCAUGCCUAAUGGAGGUAGAGCACUGAAUAUCCGCGGGGGCUUCACCGCUUACCAAAGAUUAUCAAACUCCGAAUGCCAUAUAGGCUGAGCGCAGGAGUCAGACUACACGAGAUAAGUUGGGUAGUCAAAAGGGAAAGAGCCCAGAUCUACGGCUAAGGUCCCAAAGUGCGUGUUAAGUGGAAAAGGAUGUGGGAUUUCAUAGACAGCUAGGAUGUUGGCUCAGAAGCAGCCACACAUUCAAAGAGUGCGUAAUAGCUCACUAGCCGAGAGGUCCUGCGCCGAAAAUUACCGGGGCUGAAACACGACACCGAAGCCUAGGGAUUGGAUGUAUCUACGGGUACAUCUGAUCGGUAGGGGAGCAUUCUGUACUGCAUAGAAACUGUACCGAAAGGAGCAGCGGAGUGUAUAGAAGAGAGAAUGCCGGAAUGAGUAGCGAGAUGGAGGUGAGAAUCCUCCAGGCCGAAUAUCCAAGGAUUCCAGGGUAAAGCUGAUCUGCCCUGGGGAAGUCGGGACCUAAGCUGAGGCCGAAGAGGCGUAGGCGAUGGACAGCAGGUUGAUAUUCCUGCACUUAUGUAUAUCAGAACUGUGGGGACGCAGGCAAAAGGGUCGAGCCGGGGAAGGAAGAACCGGUCCCGCAAGGGGGAACGAAAAUAAGUAGAGAAGCGACAGAUAUGACUGCCAAGAAAAGCCACUAUAGCGUAUACAUAACCCGUACCGUAAACCGACACAGGUGGAUGAGGAGAGAAUCCUAAGGCCGACGGGAGAAGCAUUGUUAAGGAACUCGGCAAAAUGUCCCCGUAACUUCGGGAUAAGGGGAGCCUGAGAAAUCAGGCCGCAGAGAAGAGGCUCAAGCAACUGUUUAGCAAAAACACAGGUCUAUGCGAAACCGAAAGGUGAGGUAUAUGGGCUGACGCCUGCCCGGUGCUGGAAGGUUAAGAGGAGAGGUUAGAGCAAUCGAAGCUUUGAAUUUAAGCCCCAGUAAACGGCGGCCGUAACUAUAACGGUCCUAAGGUAGCGAAAUUCCUUGUCGGGUAAGUUCCGACC